rnacentral:rRNA from 1 species
AGAGUUUGAUUAUGGCUCAGGAUGAACGCUGGCGGCGUGCUUAACACAUGCAAGUCGAACGAAGCACUUAGGACAGAUUACUUCGGUUUGAAGUCCUAUUUGACUGAGUGGCGGACGGGUGAGUAACGCGUGGGUAACCUGCCUCAUACAGGGGGAUAACAGUUAGAAAUGACUGCUAAUACCGCAUAAGCGCACAGUCUCGCAUGGGACAGUGUGAAAAACUCCGGUGGUAUGAGAUGGACCCGCGUCUGAUUAGCUAGUUGGUGAGGUAACGGCUCACCAAGGCGACGAUCAGUAGCCGGCCUGAGAGGGUGAACGGCCACAUUGGGACUGAGACACGGCCCAAACUCCUACGGGAGGCAGCAGUGGGGAAUAUUGCACAAUGGGGGAAACCCUGAUGCAGCGACGCCGCGUGAAGGAAGAAGUAUUUCGGUAUGUAAACUUCUAUCAGCAGGGAAGAAAAUGACGGUACCUGACUAAGAAGCCCCGGCUAACUACGUGCCAGCAGCCGCGGUAAUACGUAGGGGGCAAGCGUUAUCCGGAUUUACUGGGUGUAAAGGGAGCGUAGGCGGUUCAGCAAGUCAGAAGUGAAAGCCCGGGGCUCAACUCCGGGACUGCUUUUGAAACUGUUGAACUAGAUUGCAGGAGAGGUAAGUGGAAUUCCUAGUGU